rnacentral:rRNA from 1 species
AAUCCAUAGGUUAAUGAGGCGAACCGGGGGAACUGAAACAUCUAAGUACCCCGAGGAAAAGAAAUCAACCGAGAUUCCCCCAGUAGCGGCGAGCGAACGGGGAGGAGCCCAGAGCCUGAAUCAGCAUGUGUGUUAGUGGAAGCGUCUGGAAAGGCGCGCGAUACAGGGUGACAGCCCCGUACACAAAAGCGCAUGUGCUGUGAGCUCGAUGAGUAGGGCGGGACACGUGGUAUCCUGUCUGAAUAUGGGGGGACCAUCCUCCAAGGCUAAAUACUCCUGACUGACCGAUAGUGAACCAGUACCGUGAGGGAAAGGCGAAAAGAACCCCGGCGAGGGGAGUGAAAAAGAACCUGAAACCGUGUACGUACAAGCAGUGGGAGCACAGGUUUACCUGUGUGACUGCGUACCUUUUGUAUAAUGGGUCAGCGACUUAUAUUCUGUAGCAAGGUUAACCGUAUAGGGGAGCCGUAGGGAAACCGAGUCUUAACCGGGCGUUAAGUUGCAGGGUAUAGACCCGAAACCCGGUGAUCUAGCC